UAAAUGUCUGGGAAACGGCCUGAUGGAGGGGGGUAACUACUGGAAACGGUAGCUAAUACCGCAUAACGUCGCAAGACCAAAGUGGGGGACCGUUCGGGCCUCAUGCCAUCAGAUGUGCCCAGAUGGGAUUAGCUAGUAGGUGGGGUAAUGGCUCACCUAGGCGACGAUCCCUAGCUGGUCUGAGAGGAUGACCAGCCACACUGGAACUGAGACACGGUCCAG
rnacentral:rRNA from 1 species